rnacentral:rRNA from 1 species
CUUCACGAAUCGCAUGGUCUUGAACCGGCGAUGUUUCAUUCAAAUUUCUGCCCUAUCAACUUUCGACGGUAGGGUAGUGGCCUACCGUGGUGGUAACGGGUGACGGAGGAUUAGGGUUCGAUUCCGGAGAGGGAGCCUGAGAAACGGCUACCACAUCCAAGGAAGGCAGCAGGCGCGCAAAUUACCCAAAUCCCAACUCGGGGAGGUAGUGACAAGAAAUAACGAUGCUCCGGCCAUUGGUCGGGUAAUCGGAAUGAGAACAAUUUAAAUCCCUUAUCGAGGAUCAAUUGGAGGGCAAGUCUGGUGCCAGCAGCCGCGGUAAUUCCAGCUCCAAUAGCGUAUAUUUAAGUUGCUGCGGUUAAAAAGCUCGUAGUCGGAUUUCGGGUGGCGCCUACCGGUCCGCCUUUGGUGAGUACUGGUAGGUACCACCUUUCUGCCGAGGACGGGGUACUGGGCUUAGUUGUCUGGGCCUCGGAGUCGGCGAUGUCACUUUGAGUAAAUUAGGGUGUUCAAAGCAGGCUUAUGCUCUGUAUACACUAGCAUGGGAUGACACGAUAGGACUUCGGUUUAUCUUGUCGGUCUGUAGAUCGGAGUAAUGAUUAAGAGGGACAGUCGGGGGCAUUCGUAUUUCGUAGUCAGAGGUGAAAUUCUUGGAUUUACGGAAGACGAACUUCUGCGAAAGCAUUUGCCAAGGAUGUUUUCAUUGAUCAAGAACGAAAGUCGGGGGCUCGAAGACGAUUAGAUACCGUCG